GUGGAGGGAAGCUCAUUGCUGAGGCUACAGACAGAGUGUAGGGGUCACUCUAUGUGCCUCAGGGAAGGUCUGAGACUGGAGCUCCUAGUUGCCCCUGCAGGGCAUCCCUUGGAUGAAGGGGGUGGGUCCCCAGAGAACUUGGCUCUGAUUGGCCAGUGAGUGCAAAAGAUGCAGCAAGUACCCAAUGUUGUGCUUCUGCAGAUGCAAAGGCAUCAGGCUUGGCACUGCCCCACAGCUGGCACAUUCAAGCCCAAUGGCUGAGAGGGAACUGCCUGUGGUUUCCCAACCCAAUUCAGACUACUCUCCCUCCAC
ensembl:ribozyme RNaseP_nuc Nuclear RNase P